GACGAACGCUGGCGGCGUGCUUAACACAUGCAAGUCGAACGGAAAGGCCCUGCUUUUGUGGGGUGCUCGAGUGGCGAACGGGUGAGUAACACGUGAGUAACCUGCCCUUGACUUUGGGAUAACUUCAGGAAACUGGGGCUAAUACCGGAUAGGAGCUCCUGCUGCAUGGUGGGGGUUGGAAAGUUUCGGCGGUUGGGGAUGGACUCGCGGCUUAUCAGCUUGUUGGUGGGGUAGUGGCUUACCAAGGCUUUGACGGGUAGCCGGCCUGAGAGGGUGACCGGCCACAUUGGGACUGAGAUACGGCCCAGACUCCUACGGGAGGCAGCAGUGGGGAAUAUUGCACAAUGGGCGGAAGCCUGAUGCAGCAACGCCGCGUGCGGGAUGACGGCCUUCGGGUUGUAAACCGCUUUCGCCUGUGACGAAGCGUGAGUGACGGUAAUGGGUAAAGAAGCACCGGCUAACUACGUGCCAGCAGCCGCGGUGAUACGUAGGGUGCGAGCGUUGUCCGGAUUUAUUGGGCGUAAAGGGCUCGUAGGUGGUUGAUCGCGUCGAAAGUGUAAUCUUGGGGCUUAACCCUGAGCGUGCUUUCGAUACGGGUUGACUUGAGGAAGGUAGGGGAGAAUGGAAUUCCUGGUGGAGCGGUGGAAUGCGCAGAUAUCAGGAGGAACACCAGUGGCGAAGGCGGUUCUCUGGGCCUUUCCUGACGCUGAGGAGCGAAAGCGUGGGGAGCGAACAGGCUUAGAUACCCUGGUAGUCCACGCUGUAAACGGUGGGUACUAGGUGUGGGGUCCAUUCCACGGGUUCCGUGCCGUAGCUAACGCUUUAAGUACCCCGCCUGGGGAGUACGGCCGCAAGGCUAAAACUCAAAGGAAUUGACGGGGCCCCGCACAAGCGGCGGAGCAUGCGGAUUAAUUCGAUGCAACGCGUAGAACCUUACCUGGGUUUGACAUGGAUCGGGAGUGCUCAGAGAUGGGUGUGCCUCUUUUGGGGUCGGUUCACAGGUGGUGCAUGGCUGUCGUCAGCUCGUGUCGUGAGAUGUUGGGUUAAGUCCCGAAACGAGCGCAACCCUUGUUCACUGUCGCCAGCACGUUAUGGUGGGGACUCAGUGGAGACCGCCGGGGUCAACUCGGAGGAAGGUGGGGAUGACGUCAAGUCAUCAUGCCCCUUAUGUCCAGGGCUUCACGCAUGCUACAAUGGCUGGUACAGAGAGUGGCGAGCCUGUGAGGGUGAGCGAAUCUCGGAAAGCCGGUCUCAGUUCGGAUUGGGGUCUGCAACUCGACCUCAUGAAGUCGGAGUCGCUAGUAAUCGCAGAUCAGCAACGCUGCGGUGAAUACGUUCCCGGG
rnacentral:rRNA from 1 species